ACUCAAAUGAAUAGACGGGGGCCCGCACAAGCGGUGGAGCAUGUGGUUUAAUUCGACGCAACGCGAAGAACCUUACCUGGGCUCGAAAUGUACAGGAAUUACUUAGAAAUAGGUACGCCCAGCAAUGGGCCUGUAUAUAGGUGCUGCAUGGCUGUCGUCAGCUCGUGUCGUGAGAUGUUGGGUUAAGUCCCGCAACGAGCGCAACCCUUAUCUCUAGUUGCUACCAUUUAGUUGAGCACUCUAGCGAAACCGCCUCGGAUAACGGGGAGGAAGGUGGGGAUGACGUCAAGUCCUCAUGGCCUUUAUGUCCAGGGCUACACACGUGCUACAAUGGCCGGUACAAACCGCUGCGAACCCGCGAGGGGGAGCCAAUCGGAAAAAGCCGGCCUCAGUUCGGAUUGGAGUCUGCAACUCGACUCCAUGAAGCUGGAAUCGCUAGUAAUCGCAGAUCAGAACGCUGCGGUGAAUACGUUCCCGGGCCUUGUACACACCGCCCGU
rnacentral:rRNA from 1 species